rnacentral:lncRNA from 1 species
CCCCCCUAUACCCGCAAUACUCUUCCCAUAGGACCGCCCAUAUCCCCCCCUAAUAGUCACCCCAUAUCCCCCCAUAUAGACCCCAUAUCACUCCCCAUAUCCCCCAUAUCUCCCCCUAUCUCCCCAUAUAACCCUCAUAUAACCCCAUAUAUCCCGUACCCACAAACUCAGUUGCCGCUAUAGGGUCCUCCCUGAGCUGUGCCCCCCGUGGCCACCCCAAUAGGACACAGUUGGGUCUCAGUGCCCCCAACCUCGCCAGCAUUGAACCACAACCUGCAGCGCGUCACGAUCCCGACGGGAAACAACGGCCUGGACAAAGCCCCCGGCCCCAUAAGUGGAAAGGGCUCUUUUGAACGCAGGGACUGUAUGGGAUAAUAUAUGGGGUAAUAUAUAGGGUUAUUAUAGGAUAUAUGGGGAUAUAUGGGGUUAUAUGGGGUUAUUAUGGGGGCGUUAAUAUGGGGGGAACUAACUGGGGAUAUGGGGUUAUAUGGGGUUACUUUAUGGGGGAUAUUUUAGC